UACGUAGGGGGCAAGCGUUGUCCGGAUUUAUUGGGCGUAAAGCGCUCGCAGGUGGUUCGUUGCGUCGUGCGUGAAAGACCCUGGCUCAACUGGGGGAUGUCGUGCGAUACGGGCGAACUGGAGGCCAGUAGGGGGAUGCGGAAUUCCGGGUGUAGUGGUGGAAUGCGUAGAGAUCCGGAGGAACACCAGCGGCGAAGGCGGCAUCCUGGACUGGUCCUGACACUCAGGGGCGAAAGCGUGGGGAGCGAUCCGG
rnacentral:rRNA from 1 species